rnacentral:rRNA from 1 species
GGAUUAGUGGUGCGUGUACGGGUGAGUAACACGUGGGAACGUGCCUUUUGGUUCGGAACAACUCAGGGAAACUUGAGCUAAUACCGGAUAAGCCUUUCGAGGGAAAGAUUUAUCGCCAUUAGAGCGGCCCGCGUAGGAUUAGCUAGUUGGUGGGGUAAAGGCCCACCAAGGCUACGAUCCUUAGCUGGUCUGAGAGGAUGAUCAGCCACAUUGUGGGACUGAGACACGGCCCAAACUCCUACGGGAGGCAGCAGUGGGGAAUCUUGCGCAAUGGGCGAAAGCCUGACGCAGCCAUGCCGCGUGAAUGAUGAAGGUCUUAGGAUUGUAAAAUUCUUUCACCGGGGACGAUAAUGACGGUACCCGGAGAAGAAGCCCCGGCUAACUUCGUGCCAGCAGCCGCGGUAAUACGAAGGGGGCUAGCGUUGCUCGGAAUUACUGGGCGUAAAGGGAGCGUAGGCGGAUAGUUUAGUCAGAGGUGAAAGCCCAGGGCUCAACCUUGGAAUUGCCUUUGAUACUGGCUAUCUUGAGUACGGAAGAGGUAUGUGGAACUCCGAGUGUAGAGGUGAAAUUCGUAGAUAUUCGGAAGAACACCGGUGGGCGAAAGCGACAUACUGGUCCGUUACUGACGCUGAGGCUCGAAAGCGUGGGAGCAAACAGGAUUA